UACAGAGGGUGCAAGCGUUGUCCGGAAUGAUUGGGCGUAAAGCAUCUGUAGGUGGUUUCUAAAGUCAACUGUUAAAUCCCAGAGCUCAACUUUGGUCGAGCAGUUGAGUACUUAGGGACUUGAGUACGGUAGGGGUAGAGGGAAUUCCUUGUUUAGCGGUGAAAUGCAUAGAGAUAAGGAAGAACACCAGCGGCGAAGGCGCUCUACUGGGCCGUAACUGACACUGAGAGAUGAAAGUUAGGGGAGCGAAAAGG
rnacentral:rRNA from 1 species